AUAAGUAAUAGCACAUGAAUUGUCGAUUUAGGUUUAAUGGUGCAAUGCAUCUCCUAUGCAGCUGGCGGCAGUAUGCAGCUCAAAAUAAACUUAAGGCACCGACAAAUGCAAAACACUGGGCGCGAAUAACGUUACAGGUGUAUCAAUUCUUGUGAAGGGCAUGGCUGCAGGAAACAAGUCCGUUUCUGAGUUACUCAAAGAACUUGCUAACCGCUUAGAUUGAACGUCUUCACCUCAGUCUGCGUAUUGCAGCAGUGUACUGGAGAUGAAGUGGUCCCUGGUCCAAGUUCUCAUCACAACCGCACAGUGUUAACGUUAGCAAAUGCUAACGCUAUCACAGCUAGCUCCACUCCACGAAACGCUGUUCAGGGUCAUAACACAAACAAGUCGUCAAGUCAAGCAGCUGAGGAAAGGGCUUAAGGAAACCAUGGUAUGGCCGCUUCUGACAGAAAGAUCAGACAUCAUUCCUCCUUUCUUACCAAGGGAAUCAGAGACUGCUCCCUGUUGUGAGAAGAUGAAGAUGAGGAAGAAGAGGAAUGCU